GAGAUUUUCCGGUUGAUCCCGCCGGACCCGACUGCUAUCGGAUAGAGAUUAAGCCAUGCGAGUCGAACAUUUCUUAACUAUGUAAGAAGUGUGGCAUACGGCUCAGUAACACGUGGUCAACCUACCCUAAAGACAUGGAUAACCCCGGGAAACUGGGAUUAAUAUAUGAUAGGUCAUUUUUCCUGGAAUCGGUUUAUGACUUAAAGGAUUGUUAAGCAUGUUUGAUUAAUUGCUUUAGGAUGGGACUGCGACCGAUCAGGUUGUUGGUGGGGUAAUGGCCUACCAAGCCGAUUACCGGUGCGGGCUUUGAGAGAAGGAGCCCGGAGAUGGACACUGAGAAAAGGGUCCAGGCCCUACGGGGCGCAGCAGGCGCGAAAACUUUGCAAUGUGCGAAAGCACGACAAGGUUAAUCCGAGUGCAACAUGCUGAAUGUAGCUUUUGGUAAAUGUAAAUAGUUUAUUGAAUAAGGGGAGGGAAAGUCUGGUGUCAGCCGCCGCGGUAAUACCAGCUCCCCGAGUGGUCGGGACGAUUAUUGGGCCUAAAGCAUCCGUAGCCUGUUCUGUAGGUCUUAUGUUAAAAUCAAUUGCUCAACAAUUGAAUUGCAUGAGAUACCACAAAACUAGGAGGCGGGAGAGGUGGACGGUACUCCACGGGUAGGGGUAAAAUCCUCUGAACCGUGGAAGACCACCAGUGGCGAAGGCGGUCCACCAGAACGCGCUCGACGGUGAGGGAUGAAAGCUGGGGUAGCGAACCGGAUUAGAUACCCGGGUAGUCCCAGCUGUAAACGAUGCAAGCUAGGUGAUGCAUUAGCCACGUGUUAAUGCAGUGCCGCAGGGAAGCCGUUAAGCUUGCCGCCUGGGGAGUACGGUCGCAAGGCUGAAACUUAAAGGAAUUGGCGGGGGAGCACCACAAGGGGUGAAGCCUGCGGUUCAAUUGGAUUCAACGCCGGAAAUCGU
rnacentral:rRNA from 1 species